rnacentral:rRNA from 1 species
UACAGAGGGUGCAAGCGUUGUUCGGAAUUAUUGGGCGUAAAGCGCGUGUAGGCGGCUUUGCAAGUCGGGUGUGAAAUCCCUGGGCUCAACCCGGGAAUUGCAUUCGAUACUGGCGAGCUAGAGUACGGUAGAGGGCGGCGGAAUUCCGGGUGUAGCGGUGAAAUGCGUAGAUAUCCGGAGGAACACCGGUGGCGAAGGCGGCUUCCUGGACCGACACUGACGCUGAGGCGCGAAAGCUAGGGGAGCAAACGGG